rnacentral:rRNA from 1 species
AAGGCCUUGCGCUUUUGGAGUGGCCGAUGCCUGAUUAGCUAGUUGGUGGGGUAAGGGCCUACCAAGGCGACGAUCAGUAGUUGGUCUGAGAGGACGACCAGCCACACUGGGACUGAGACACGGCCCAGACUCCUACGGGAGGCAGCAGUGGGGAAUUUUGGACAAUGGGCGCAAGCCUGAUCCAGCAAUGCCGCGUGUGUGAAGAAGGCCUUCGGGUUGUAAAGCCCUUUCAGUUGAGAAGAAAAGGUUGUGGUAAAUAAUCACAAUUGAUGACGGUAUCGACAGAAGAAGCACCGGCUAACUACGUGCCAGCAGCCGCGGUAAUACGUAGGGUGCAAGCGUUAAUCGGAAUUACUGGGCGUAAAGGGUGCGCAGGCGGCUUUGUAAGUCAGAUGUGAAAUCCCCGGGCUUAACCUGGGAAUU